UUCUAGCUCAUGUUCUUCAUGGAGAACAUGUUUCACCUUCUUAGGCCAAUCUUUUGCUAUCUCAUCGUACUUAGCUUCAAUCUCCUUCAAACGUUCCUCAGUAAAAGGGUAAGCAUCGGCUCCAUGGGCUACGACAAGGUCCCUUGCUUCUUUUGUUACGGUUUGCCCAGUUGGUCCCAGAGCUGCUAGCAUUGGGAUCCCACCAACCUUAAAGGUUUUUGCCAAGGAUGCUUUCCUAGGAUCACCAAAUGGAAGAGCCAGCCACGGCAUUUGCGAAUAGUACUCAUCGAAUGAUUCCUGGUCACGG